rnacentral:lncRNA from 8 species
GUAAGAUUUGUCCGUACUGACCUGUGCAGAUGUUGCUGUCAUGGCCGCUUAUGCUGAAGCCUGUGUCAUACGUGCAGCGGGAGGAGCUGUGGAGCAGGAGGACGAAGAGCGAUAGGACCAUGACUGGGGAACUGAGGACAAGCCGCCCAAAGACGGGAACCAAGAGACCCAGCAGUGAGGCCUACAGAUCUGACUAUGACUUGGAGUAUGACAGCUACCCAGAUGACCUCUACAGCAGGGUGUUUGACUACCAGCGUGUCCCAGCCUCCGUAAUGCCAGUCCCAGUGGAGCCCAGCCCUAUGAAACACUCCCGUGAUCCCUCUUUCUCUUUCGGCCUGCACCGCUCCAGAAACAGACCACAGGGCAAGAGGAGCGCACAGCGCACCGGCUCUUCCAGGGCCAAGUUGAAGAUGGCAGAGCUGCUGGCCAUAAAGCGGGAGUUAACUCUGAUCAAGGUGCAGAUUGACGGACUGCUCGACAGCGUGGACAAGAUGGACAGACAGAGGAAGGACCACUCAGAUUCACCUCCUACCCAGGAGGGUAGUGUGUCGGACUCAGUGAGCAGUCUGGAAGAUUCUCCCGUCAGCCUCCCGCACAGACAGAGGGAGAGCCCAGAGCCUGGAGAGGCCAGCGAUGAGGACCAACACCUCCAACACUACCAGCUCCACUGCAGGAUAAAUAACCAUCAAUCUGAUCUGGAGGAUGACAUGUGAGGAGAUCAG